rnacentral:rRNA from 1 species
AACGAACGCUGGCGGCAUGCCUAACACAUGCAAGUCGAACGAGACCUUCGUGUCUAGUGGCGCACGGGUGCGUAACGCGUCGGAACCUGCCCUUAGGUUCGGAAUAACUCCCCGACAGGGGUGCUAACACCGGAUAAUGUCUUCGGACCCAAGAUUUAUCGCCUUUGGAUGGGCCCGCGUUGGCUUAGCUUGUUGGUAGGGUAAAAGCCUACCAAGGCGUCGAUCCAUAGCUGGUCUGAGAGGCUGAUCAGCCACACUGGGACUAAGACGCGGCCCAGACUACUACGGGAUGCAGGAGAGGGGGAUAUUGCAAAAUGGGCGGAAGCCUGAUCCAGCAAUGCCGCGUGAGUGAUGAAGGCCGUAGGGUUGUAAAGCUCUUUUACCCGGGAUGAUAAUGACAGUACCGGGAGAAUAAGCACCGGCUAACUCCGUG